rnacentral:misc_RNA from 1 species
AUAUCAUUUAGCCUAUGCUGAUGUAAGAGACUUCUCUGUUCUGCUUACUCCUUUUGUUCUAAUUUCACAUUGGCCUUUUUCCUCUUGGUUUUCAUGGUUUAACAAAUUGAUGCAAUUAUACGCUGUAUCUUAUUUGUGAUUAAUAUAGGAAGCCAGCAGCAUCUUGCAUUCACCAUCUCCUGAUAUUACAAUGCAACAAAUUUGCUCCUUAUUUGAAAAUGCUAAACUGAAGAAAAGCACAUCAAACCAUGCAGAAGGAAAUGAGUGAUACAAUUCCUACUAAAACCUACACAGAAAGCAACAUUAACACAAAGCUGGUGGAUUGGCAUUGCAUGAUGCCUUCUGCUGUUUCCAAUUUUUUAAAGCAUUGACUGAAUUGAAGUUCCUUGAAUUUGUUAGCUGAAAGUGUUUGAUGCCUCUUGAAAAUAAUUAGGUUGAAUACAUAAAUUAGCCUUUGAACUAUUUGGAAAGGUUCUAUGCACCACUGAUUUUUUAUUUUGAACCAUUGCAGCCUUGAAAUUUUAUUUUUAACCUUGUACACCCUUUAAUAUUUUCUUUUUCGCUUUAUAAUAGAUUAAACUUGACAAUUUAUUCAAUUAUUUAUUAUUGAGUUGAAAAAAGAAAUUGUGCUCAUUGAUUAUAAGAGUAAAAAAUUGAAGCGUGCAAUAGAUAAAAAAAAAUUCAGGGAUGUAAUAGGUCAAAGUAAAAUAUUAAGGGUGUAUUAGACUUUUGCCAAAUAGUUUAGGGACUAAUUUAUGUAUAAGGCCAAAAAAUUACUCAUGCAACACAUGCAAAUUAGAAGUGAUCACAGAAAGAGAGAAUUACUCAGCCACGUGCCUACUUCCAUGGGGUCCAUUUUUUGCCUGCAAAGGAGAAGAUUGUAAGAGCCUUUUUAUAGAGAUACUAGAGUUUUCCUUGGGUAGAUGUAGGACAAACUCGCAAUUGCAAAAAUAUCUCCCACUAGAUUAUCAAUUCAAAAUUUUUGAUGUUGCAUCAUAUUCUGAUUAGGGCCUUAGGCCUUGGAUAUAAAUCUAUUGGAAUGAAGGGAACAAGAACACAGGUGACUGACUGAUUUCUGACACUAUACAUUAAAAUGCUUUUGCUUUCUUGGUUUAACAGGUGCUGUACACACUUGGUGGACUA